rnacentral:rRNA from 1 species
AAUAGAUACCCUCGGUAGUCCACGCCGUAAACGAUGAGUGCUAAGUGUUAGAGGGUUUACCGCCCUUUAGUGCGUGCAGCUAACGCAUUAAGCACUCCGCCUGGGGAGUACGGCCGCAAGGCUGAAACUCAAAGGAAUUGACGGGGGCCCGCACAAGCGGUGGAGCAUGUGGUUUAAUUCGAAGCAACGCGAAGAACCUUACCAGGUCUUGACAUCCUCUGACAACCCUAGAGAUAGGGCUUUCCCCUUCGGGGGACAGAGUGACAGAUGGUGCAUGGUUGUCGUCAGCUCGUGUCGUGAGAUGUUGGGUUAAGUCCCGCAACGAGCGCAACCCUUGAUCUUAGUUGCCAGCAUUCAGUUGGGCACUCUAAGGUGACUGCCGGUGACAAACCGGAGGAAGGUGGGGAUGACGUCAAAUCAUCAUGCCCCUUAUGACCUGGGCUACACACGUGCUACAAUGGAUGGUACAAAGGGCUGCAAACCUGCGAAGGUAAGCGAAUCCCAUAAAAGCCAUUCUCAGUUCGGAUUGC